CUCGAUCGCACGAACGUCUGCCUGAUCAAGCGCCACAGCGGCCAUGGAGGAAGCAAAGUGCCACCGUUGCCUAGGGAACCUGAAGACCAGAUGUUAAUAAGCAUCUAUUGUUCAGGAAUGCCCCAUGGAGCUUACUUUUCGUUUCAGGGUUCAUCAAGUAGGGCUUCUGGAGCCAUCCACUAUGGCUACUUAUUCAAGUUAAAAGAUCAUAUUUACAACAGAAUUUGAUACCAUGGUUUUGAUGUUAAGAUCGAUCUCUAUCUGAAUCUGUGCAUCUGUUCUUCAUGUACUUGAUGCAGGAUCUGCAGUACUUGGCAAUGGAAGAAACUGUCAAAUCGUGGAUGGGGAAAUUGGCCAGCGUGAAGUUACCAUAGGCUUAUGGUAUUCCUCUUUAUCACCAAUUUAGGUGCUACCCUAGCUAAAGUAUACAAUGGCCGACUGGCCUGCUCCCUUUUGAGUCAGUGUUUGAAAUUAGCAUUGUUCCGUACAUACGUCUCAUGUUUUAUACCUUCUGAAAUUUUAGAUAUAUUGCCUUGCAAUAUGUGCUCAGGAGUUUCUUACUUUUAUGAAUAUUCCACCUUAAAGGUUCACUAAUUUGGCUUGGUAGAUCAGUCAAAAUUGAUCCAAUUGCCUUGAAAUUUUCAUGAAUUAUUCUGUCAGUAUCACGAUUGGUUGCUUUACAGGAAUUUGUCGAUCUCCUUUACUUUUUAGUACAAGAAAUUUUGUACCAGGACGAUUCAUGAUAGAAAAGUAAGCUAUCACUGAAGUUAAAGACCUAUAGUGGUGCAAUAUGCUCCACCUCUCCAUGCUGGGUAUCCAAGAUUGACACAAGCUCCAGGGUAGCAACGAAACUAGACAUAGUGGAAGGGAAUAGAGAGUUGCUGCACAGGAGCCUCAAGCCUUCAGGUACCAUGCUCGGACUGACCUGCAAAUCUUCGGAGAUUUGUGCUUGAGGUUUCCACAUGGGGCAAGCUUCGUCCCAUGCCAACGGAGGAGACCGGUACCAGCGGAGUACAAGUAGGGCAGAAGUGAUGUUGGAGCCUUGGAUGAGCCAGGGGCUUGCCGUGUCCACGAUCACGAAGAGUCGAAGGCGGCAUGCCCAGCCAA